CGAAAGCUUCCGAGAGCUGCGACAUGUCCCUGGUGAUCAGGUUUUUAAGAAGAAAGAAAACCAUUUGAUCUGGCCAAUUUCAACAUGAUUCGGAGUUCUUCUUCAAAAAUACAAGUGUUUUUAAGAAGAAAGAAAACCAUUUGAUCUGGCCAAUUUCAACAUGAUUCGGAAUUCUUCUUCAAAAAUACAAGUGUUUUUAAGAAGAAAGAAAACCAUUUGAUCUGGCCAAUUUCAACAUGAUUCGGAGUUCUUCUUCAAAAAUACAAGUGUUUUUAAGAAGAAAGAAAACCAUUUGAUCUGGCCAAUUUCAACAUGAUUCGGAGUUCUUCUUCAAAAAUACAAGUGUUUUUAAGAAGAAAGAAAACCAUUUGAUCUGGCCAAUUUCAACAUGAUUCGGAGUUCUUCUUCAAAAAUACAAGUGGUAUGUUGUUAAUAUUAAAUGCUGGCUACAAAUUUUUAUUGUUACGACUUUCAUGGGAUGGAUCUGCAUGUUCAAUAUUUGAACCAAACUGAAAGUGAAAAAACAUAAAAAUGAAAACAUUUGAAUAGUCAUAAUUUUUAACAAUUGAUAAUAUUACAAUUGUAUCGGGAUGAGCCAACUGAUAUUACGAUUUAACUAAUCUAGUUGCGUGUCUUGUAUAAAAUUUAAGUUCAAUCGUUGUAGAUAGUUUUUAUUAUAAUAGGGGGAUGAUACCUAAGCACAGAAUACCUGUUAGAAAGAUAAGUCAUGCUUUUUUUCGUAAUACGCGAUUGGCAGAUUGCCUCUCUUUACAGUACUUGCUUAGUGACGAAUCAUACUUACGGAAAAGAAGUAAAAAAAGAGUUAUUCUUCUGAUCAGUAUUUUGUGACCUAAGCAACCAGAGGUUUGUCCCAGUUCAAACGUUUUAGAGAACUAGGUUAGCUUGGUGCAUAUUAUACGUACGUAUAAGAAAAACGGGGUGUCCCGGGGGGUAAAUUGCCAAAACAAAACCCAAACCACGGAAAAGCAAUGGUUAAAAAUUUACGGUAACGAGUCAGACAAUAUUUUUCUGAAUAUUUUUUUGAACUUAGCAAAAGUGGUAGCAACAUUUUCCUACUUAAAAUACAAUAACACAAGUCUAAUAGACCUAGGCUUUAUAUUAAAUUUUUUUUUAUAUAGGAUAUAAACAUGAACUUAAGACCAACAUUAUAAAUAAAUUUAAAAGAUGUACGUUUUUUUAGGCAAAUUAUUAAUAAAAGAUUUGCAAUUUACACAAUUAUUUUGCGGGAUCAUUUUUAUUCUUUUCAUCGGAAGUAUUUUAGCUAUUUCUUCAUUCAGCUGUUACAUAUUUUAACGAAAAAUUCCUGAAAAAUGAAAAUCGAGACUGUGGUACUAUGGCGUGACAUUUUAUAUUUUACAGUGUGAUAAAAACUCGUAGGAAUGACUUUCUGGGGACCUGGGGGUAAGUCCCCACAAUGUGAAAGUUCUUGCACAAGUCCUCACAAUGCUCCGUGCAUUUUUUACACAGCGUGUGUACUAAACUUGCGUAAUUGCUUUGUGGGGACUUCGGUAAAUUCUACAUCAACGUUUGGUACGUUGGCUAAUUUUCUUAUUUUUUAUUUCCAAAUUAAAAAUUGGAAGAAAAUAUAUGCAUUAAUGUAUUAGUAACAUCAUUGCAGAAGCUUCUUUGGUCUAUUCUUUGAGAAAAUAGUGGUAAAACAUUGUGGGGACUUGGCUCAGGUCCCCACAAUGCAGCAAGUCCCCACAACGUUUAGGUGGAACCUGCACAGGUCCC